UACGUAGGGUGCAAGCGUUUGUCCGGAAUUAUUGGGCGUAAAGAGCUCGUAGGCGGUUUGUUGCGUCGGCUGUGAAAUCCCGAGGCUCAACCUCGGGUCUGCAGUCGAUACGAGCAAACUAGAGUGUUGCAGGGGAGACUGGAAUUCCUGGUGUAGCGGUGAAAUGCGCAGAUAUCAGGAGGAACACCGGUGGCGAAGGCGGCGACCUGGAUCGAGACUGACGCUGGAGGCGCGAAAGCGUGGGGGAGCAAACAGG
rnacentral:rRNA from 1 species